rnacentral:rRNA from 1 species
CUGGGCUUGACAUGUGGGCGACCGGCGUGGAAACACGCCUUCCCUUCGGGGCGCCCUCACAGGUGGUGCAUGGCUGUCGUCAGCUCGUGUCGUGAGAUGUUGGGUUAAGUCCCGCAACGAGCGCAACCCCCGUCGCAUGUUGCCAGCAUUUAGUUGGGGACUCAUGCGAGACUGCCGGUGACAAACCGGAGGAAGGUGGGGAUGACGUCAAGUCCUCAUGCCCCUUAUGUCCAGGGCUACACACGUGCUACAUUGGCGCAUACAGAGGGUUGCAAUACCGCGAGGUGGAGCGAAUCCCUUAAAGUGCGUCUCGGUUCGGAUUGCAGGCUGAAAUUCGCCUGCAUGAAGGCGGAGUUGCUAGUAAUCGCGGAUCAGCAUUGCCGCGGUGAAUACGUUCCC